AAACAGGAAGUAAAAUAAUUAAUUAUAAUAAGAGGAAAUGGAAAAGCCACAUUAUGUCAGCGAUACGACAGUUUCCAAGGUUAUUGCAAUUAACAUUGAACUUUUGUUAUUAAAAAAUUACAUUAAUUAGAAAAUUAACAUCUUUCUAGUUGUGAUCAUCAGAUAAAAAUUUGCAUUUAUUUUCCCGAGGCAAAUUCCAUUUAUUUUUCGAGUCAAGUUUUCCUCAUGAUUCUGAAAUCAUACCGCCAUACCGCCUUUGCUGGACCAAGAUUCUACCAGGAAAUUAUACUGAGAUUUGGAGAUGAUGGAUGUCUCCGGAACCAGAGAGACCACCUCUUAAAAGGCGUGAUGUCAAACGAUACCGACCAGAAGUCGACCAAAU
rnacentral:misc_RNA from 1 species